UCAUUUUUUCUCCUUCAUUUUAAUGAACACUUUACAAAGUACAAAAUAUACUGUCUUUUGGGGGGAACAUUAGGUACUUUUUUCUCUCCAUCAUACAGUACGUGAAUUUUGAAGGUUCUAUGUUUGACAAAGAAAAUAAGCGUGAGGGCCCCAGGGGUGGGCCAGGCCGGCCACUUGUCCCCUUCACCCAGGCCUGGGGGUUGACGCACCAGGGCUGCUGGUGGUGACCUGGACAUGGCACGCCAGGUGCAGGCGAGGGGGCCGAGGGCAGGAGCACCCCGCACCCCUUCCACCCCCCCCAUCUUAGGAUAACGGAAAUGAUUUUGGCAUAGAGCAAGAGGGCUUGGGGUUAUUUCUCAUCUCACUCCCUUCCUGUUCUGGAGCCAACCCCAUCCAACUAUUCCUGGGCCAUUUUCUCUACAGGUAAACUGAGGCAGUGGAAAGAGAAACACACUGGGCUUGGCCUGCAUUUGCUCGCCUGCUGGGCUCUGCCGUCUGCUCGGGCCCCAGCCCACAACCUGCCCCCGUGAAUACGGGGGUGAUCCGGGGCAACUGCACAGGGAGGCCCAGCCAGGCCCGGCUGCGGCAUGGACGUCCAGGCCCGGGCUAGGGACACCUCUGCCCUUCCACAGUUUCAAAUGGGGACCCCUACCCAGGCAACCCCACCCUCUGCCUUGAAGCCAGCUGGGUGUCCCCACCUGGUCACCUGGGUCCAUGUGGCCCAUGGACUCUACUGAAUGAGCCAAGCCGGGCCCCGCACACGCACGCGCACACUCAUGCUCACACACAUGCGUAAGAACCACGUACGGCAGUGUCCUGAUGCCGAGGGCCGGGCCACCCUCCUCUGGCACCAAGAGCCACAGCCCUCCCAUCCCGCCAGCGUCACCUCCCAGGAGGGCGGCCUCCACCCUCUGUCUAUGGAGAGGGACAGGGACGGCUGGGCUUGUGGUUUUGCUGCUUCUACCUUCAAAAGGAAAGAAAAAUACCUGGGAUGAGCUUGGAAACGCAGGACAGGCUAUCUAGCUGCCAGGGCUCCCUCCUCCCCGGCCGCCCUGUCCCUCCAUGGGUGACCCUGCCUGCCCACGGCACCUCGGGAAACCCCCAAAACUGAAGACCCCCAUCCAUGCCCGCUCACCAGCCAUGUGGCCCCCUGCUCCCCGUGGGCAGUGGUGGGGUUCUUCUUUCCUCCCUGUUUCGCUCAGAAAUGGGACAGCAAAUUCUGUCACAACAGGGCUGCGGCUGCGGCGCUUGGACUGGGGCCCCUUCCAUCUGUCCUGAUCCUCUCUGGACCUCCUCGCCCCCCUGGCACCCUGUGUCCCUCACAGGGACCAGGUCCCCAGACAAGGGCCCUCCUGCUGGGCACUGAGGCCAGGUGCGUGACAGUCACAUCCCCCACUCCUCCUCCCCAGGGGACCUGCUGCCUGGGCUGGUGGGUGGUGCCCAGGGCCCCCGAAAUCCUGGGGAGGGGCUGUUACAGGGUCAUGGCUAGGGACCCCUGUCCCUGUGAACUCAUCCUGGGCUCCUCACAGUCUGCUACAGGGAAGGGACGAGGGCAGAGGUCAGGGCGGAGUCCACACGUGGUGCUUUCCUCAUUAGAGAGGUGGAGACCACACCCCACGCUGGGGUGGAUCCAGCCUGGUCACCCCACGCCAGACUGUGUCCCCAGCCACUGCACUGCAAGACCGUCCUCUCCCCCCACCCC
ensembl:lncRNA